ensembl:lncRNA novel transcript
GUUUACCUCAGCAAGCCUGGGCAAUGGCGGGCGCCCCUCCCCCAGCCUCGCUGCCGCCUUGCAGUUUGAUCUCAGACUGCUGUGCUAGCAAUCAGCGAGACUCCCUGGGGUAGGACCCUCCGAGCCAGGUGCGGGAGAUAGUCUCCUGGUGCGAGGAUUUUUAAGCCGGUCGGAAAAGCGCAGUAUUCGGGUGGGAGUGACCCGAUUUUCCAGAGGGAUUACUUUCCUCACUUUGUUAUAUAUCCUGGAAGCUAUGAACAAUGAUGCUUCUUCAUACUCUUCAACCUCAUCAUGAUACCUUGCACGAAGCAGGAGCUCAACUAAUUUGGGUUGAGGCCAGAAUGCCAAUAGUGAGCAAAAAAGGAUGAUAUUUGACACUUGGCAUUGAAUAUCUGAAUCAUGAUGUCCACAUAACUACAGCUAUGCACCACAUAAUGAUGUUUUACUCAACAACAGACCACAUAUACAAUGGUGGUUUCAUAAGGCUAUAAAGGAGCUGAAAAUUUCUUACCACCUCAUGUCCUCAUGUCAUAGUGCAACAUAUUGCUCUUGUGUUUGCAGUGAUGCUGGCAUAAACAAACCCACUGUGCUUUCAGUUGUAUAAAACUGUAGCCCAUACAAUCAUGUACAGUACAUAAUACUCAAUGAUGAUAAACUAAAUGACUAUG